rnacentral:rRNA from 1 species
AGGGAAUCUUGCGCAAUGGGCGAAAGCCUGACGCAGCCAUGCCGCGUGAAUGAUGAAGGUCUUAGGAUUGUAAAAUUCUUUCACCGGGGACGAUAAUGACGGUACCCGGAGAAGAAGCCCCGGCUAACUUCGUGCCAGCAGCCGCGGUAAUACGAAGGGGGCUAGCGUUGCUCGGAAUUACUGGGCGUAAAGGGCGCGUAGGCGGAUAGUUUAGUCAGAGGUGAAAGCCCAGGGCUCAACCUUGGAAUUGCCUUUGAUACUGGCUAUCUUGAGUAUGGAAGAGGUAUGUGGAACUCCGAGUGUAGAGGUGAAAUUCGUAGAUAUUCGGAAGAACACCAGUGGCGAAGGCGACAUACUGGUCCAUUACUGACGCUGAGGCGCGAAAGCGUGGGGAGCAAAC